rnacentral:lncRNA from 1 species
CUAUCCUACAAGUUUAUGAGUUAACUAAGCCUAAAAAUCACCUUUCUUCCAUCAAGAAGUCUGCUUGGAAGCAAGUUGCCACCAUUACUUUCGAUCAAGAAGAUGAUGAUGAUACCAGUCCGAAAGCGCCGGAGGUGAUGUCAUAUGAUGGGCUUCUAUUCUUCGAUGGACAUGGAAGAGUCGAGGGACAAGAAGCGCUGACCAUGCUUGCCAAACAUUUGAAGGAGUUACACUUGUUAGUGAGUCCUGAAGGGUAUUGCUUCCAAGACGUAUUCGGUCUUGGACUCUACUCUAAUUAUGGGAUUCAUUAUCUUCGAUUGAACGAUCUGUUCAGCUGGCCUUUCCAUGGAGUAGAUCUUGCAACGAUGACCGAGUGGAGCCGGUUGGAGUUGAGGUACCAUCUUCCUAGACAGGGUACUAUUUCAAAGAGGACGGAUGUAGGUGGGGUGAGUAAGGAGAAGUAUGCAGAGUUGGAGAAGUUGGUAAAGGAAAAAGAUGAAGAACUAGACAAGUUGAAAUUCGCGGAUGAACGUAUUCGAAAGCAAUUAGAAAAGAAGGGCCAUCAAUUGCGGAUGCUUAACGAGAAGAAGGGGGUUGAUACAAGGAGGAUAGAAGAACUAGAAAAGCUUAACGAGGAAUUGGAGGAGGCAAAUGAAGUUAAAGACGAAGAAUUACGAAAAUUCGAAAAGAAGAAGAGGGCCGGUGAAGAGGCAAAAAGAAGGAAGAUAGAAGAACUAGAGAAGUUUAACGAGGAAUUGAAGGAGACAAAUGAAGCUAAAGACAAAGAAUUGCGAAAAUUCGAAAAGAAGAAGAGCGCCGGUAAAGAGGAAAAAAAGGAGGAUAGAAGAACUAGAGAAGCUUAACGAGGAAUUGAAGGAGGCAAAUGAAGCUAAAAACGAAGAAUUACGAAAAUUCGAAAAGAAGAAGAGCGCUGGUGAAGAGGAAAAAAGAAGGAAGAUAGAAGAAUUAGAAAAGUGUAACAAGGAAUUGGAAGAGGUGAAGAAAGAACUGAAAGAAUGUCAAAGGAAGUCAUGGGCAAUUCUGCCUUCCACUAAAUUCCUACCGUCGACAUUUGAUGCCAAAGAUAAAUAUCUAGCCACAAGACGGCGGGUUCCACCAGGAACAUUCGUAUGUGCUUCUGAGUUGAGAUUUCCUUUCGUGAGUAACUCUCGUAAAUUGGUGGAUAAAAUGUGUGUCGACGGAAUCAACAUUGUCCGAUUAGUUGACGAGGGAAGCAGUCCUUACGAAUGGCCACCUCCGCCAGCAAUUAGAGUGUGGGUCGGCAGGGGUGAUGGAGAUUUUGACAAGGACAACUGGUGGUAUUUAAAAACGACCCACCCUGAAGGCGGCUUGACGAUGCUGAUGUAUUAUGAUGGAAACCGUUCUCACUUAGGGUCCGACUAUUCUGCUGUUCCGUUGCCAUUUUCUAAGGGUAUUCUUGAGGCUUAUACGUAUACUCAUACAUUCACCCUCUUUACGCUCCAACCAUUUGGAGUGAGAUAUGGUCUCGCGUACCGGUCGAACUAGAGUUUGGCAUCGUUCAUUGGUUCCGCCGUCUGUGAAACAUCCUUCUGAGUGCGUGUUAUAUGUAUUUUUCCUUUUGCAGAUUGUGUCGUGAUUUUUCGUAUCGUGUAAUUUGAAUUGAAAUAUUAAUAAAUGAUUGGUUUGCUUAUAUUGCUCGACCUCUUAGGGAUAAGAUUGGCUUUCACGUACCGACCGUAGUGGGUGGAAGUGUUCACUUGCAAGUUGCAACACACAUGCUUAACCCAGAAUCGAAAUCCGAAAAGUUCAGUUUGUUUGGGUUUAUCAGAGUCCACAUAUAUGACAUUGACUCCAUAUGUAGACUAUAAGAGAAGUGAAGUGAAGAUACCUCUUUUGACCCAUUUCCUUUCUCUACCAUCCUCUUGCUCUUUAUGUUCAUUGCCGCAUCAUCUCUUGCUAUCCAUAGAAAAUGUUUCCGAGACCGCAACUCAUCACCCUUUAUUCUGCAGACAGACUUGUUCUUGAUCUUGACCAACUCCAUCUGUUUGAUAUUUGCCACACUAUAAGACAGAUCAAAAUAAUAUGCUGCAUUUAAGGAUAGUCAAGAUAAACUGCUUACUCCAUACUUAUUUCAGAAAAUGUUCAAAAUAAGUUUGCAAAGAAUCAACCAAGCCGCAUCAAAGCAAAAGUAAGCAUGUCGUUAUAUAGCAUCGAAGUCAGUAGUGCGUAGAUUGAAACUGCAAUACUGAAGGCUACAUUUCUUAAUUUAUGCUCUAGGAAGCCUGAUGGAGAGUCCAAACUAACUCCAGAAUAGCAAAGCCAAAACCAUUUGUUUUUGGUACCUCUUCUUCCUAUGGUUGAUAUCGUUAUUGGUACCUCUUCUUCCCAUACUAAUGGGCAGCAGAAGUGCUCUGGCCGAUGCCUGGAAGACCAGCGAUCCUUGCUGCUCCAGUUCAAACAUAGCCUCACUUUCGACCAAUCAUUAUCAGGAAAGCUGGCAAGGUGGAAUGCAAGCGCUGACUGUUGCCAGUGGCCUGGCAUAAGUUGUGAUCCCGGUGGCCUCGGUCACGUUACCGGCCUCAACUUGAGCGAUGGAUACAUCACCGGAGGCGGAGGACUAGACACCUCCUCAGCUCUCUUCAGUCUUCGGCACCUUGAGGACCUGAAUUUGUCCGGAAACUACUUCAAUACCAAUUUUCCGGCUGCACUUGCCAACCUCACCAAUUUGAGGUAUCUGGACUUAUCUUAUGCUGGCUUCUCCGGGCAAUGCCCGCUUCCAUCUCUCAGUUGAAGCUCCAGUCCCUAUCGGUAGAUGACAUCACCUUCUCCUCUCCAAUUCCUGAUUUCUUCAUGAAUUUCAAAAACUUGGCUAGCUUGAGUCUAAGCCAUUGCGGGUUGAGCGGAACAUUUCCCGCAAAGCUACUCCAAAACCUGACUGAACUAAGUUAUUUGGAUUUCUCUUACAACAACUUCAUUGGUCAAAUUCCGUCACUAGGCUGCUUCUCCAAGUAUCUCACACAUUUAGACCUCUCCAACAAUAAAUUCGCGGGUAAUAUACCAACUCAGUGAUUUUCAGAUGCUUACUUACAUUAACCUCACGGACAAUGCCUUCAACGGAAGCAUCCCACCAUCUUUAUUCGCCAUUCCAUCCUUGCAGUUUAUCAGCCUAUCCUACAACCAAUUUCAAGGUCAGGCUCCAGAGUACCCAAAUGUUACUUCUUCGGCUCUUGAAACAUUAGGUUUGAGUCACAACAAUUUGGAAGGCUCAAUCCCUCGUUCCCAUUUUGAAAUUCGUACACUUGAAACUCUUCCACUUGGAUCUAAUAGAUUCACUGGAAUCGUACAAUUAACUUGGAUUCAAAAGCUCCAAAAUCUACACUACCUUUUUCUUUCAGACAACAACCUGACAGUGGAUGCAAGCGACACCAACUUGUCCACCUUGUCCAAGUUUCCCCAAUUCUCCACAUUGAAAUUGGCAUCAUGCAAUCUGAGAAAAUUUCCAAUGUUAGGCAACCAAUCAAGGUUAGAAGUUCUAGAUCUUUCGAACAACUUUAUUGAUGGGGUAAUACCUCGUUGGAUUCUAGAAUCAUCUACUGUACAAAAUCUCAAUCUUUCGCAUAACAAUCUGAUGGGCUUUGAGAUACAGCAUAUUUAUCUUCCUCAUCUUGAAUCCUUGGACAUACAUGACAACAAACUCCAUGGAGACAUUCCAAUCAUUUUAUCAACGUUGUCCUACGUAGACUACUCCAACAAUCUUUGCAAUGGUUCCAUUCCGGCUGAAAUCAGAAAUUACCUUUCCUUUCAAUUCUUCUCAGUAUCAAAUAAUAGCCUCGAAGGAGCGAUUCCAUUGAGUAUUUGCAAUGCUUCAGAUGUUCAAGUCCUUGAUUUGUCAAACAACCAUUUCAGUGGUACAAUUCCGGAAUGUUUGAUGAGGAACUUCUGGCUUAUGGUUUUAGAUUUGAAGGGCAAUAAGCUCAGUGGACACAUACCUGACGUAUUCCAAGCUUCAUGUUGGCUGCAAACUCUUGAUCUCAGUAACAACCAGUUGCAAGGAAAAGUUCCACAGUCUUUGGACAACUGUACAAUAUUAGCAGUCUUGGACCUUGGGAACAACAAAAUGUCUGAUGUCUUUCCCUGCUUCUUGGGAAACAAAUCUAGCUUGAGUGUUCUUAUCCUGAGGAACAACCUUUUCCAUGGGAGCAUGUCCUGUCACGAUGAUCUUCCUGGUGCUUGGCCAAAGCUUCAAGUUGUAGAUUUAGCUUCCAACCAUUUUUCGGGUCUCUUAAAACAGCAAGUUAUUAGCUAUGUGGGAAGCAAUGAUUGGAGACGAGAAGGGAAUCCAUGAUCACCCUAAAGAUCUACCUCGCCCACAGGAAACUAUGAAAAAUCCAUAACUGUCAUCAACAAGGGUGUCAAGAUGGUACUUGUCAAGAUAGUCCUGACAAUGUUCAGAUCUAUUGAUUUCUCAAGCAAUAAUUUUCAUGGGCCAUUACCAGAAGUGAUAGGAGAAUUUGGUGCUCUUGUUGCCCUCAAUUUCUCCCACAAUGCUUUCAUGGGCCAGAUCCCAUCAAUGUUUGGCCGUUUAUCAAACCUAGAGUCUCUGGAUCUCUCCCACAACAAGCUCAGUGGACAGAUCCCAACAGAGUUAGCAAGCCCGACUUUCCUCUCACUCCUGAAUCUGUCAGAGAAUCAUCUGGUUGGAAAAAUUCCGACGGAUAGCCAGUUCCACACAUUUGACAACACUUCCUUUGAAGGUAAUCCAUAUUUGUGCGGAUCUCCUUUGUCCAAAACUUGCAAUCCAAUUCAUCAAGAAGCUACUGCCAGCCAUGAUGAUAAAUCCACUACAAGAAUCAACUGGGACAUCCUAAGCAAAGCAUUUGGAUAUAUUUUCGGAUUAGGUCUUGUCAUGUUACCAGCUGCACUAUGGCCGAGCUUUCGAAUUUGGUACUGGCCAAAGAUUGAUUCUUUACUCCUAUGGAUGUUCCCAAAGUUAUAUGUGAAGGGCUGGAACAAUCGCCUCAGGACAAGGCAAGGCCAGCGGCGUAGCAAGAAAGCAAUCACUAGUUAGUGACUUCCCUAUAUUUUCUUAUGCCCUGUCUAGUUUUAUAUAUAUUAUGAUGCUUAACCAAUAAGUUUUUCAUAUAGAAUGAAAUACAAAACACACAAUAUCCUAUUUGAAUUCUGUGCAUUUGGGCAUCUGGUGGAUUAAUAGUUUAAUACUGUAAUCGUAAUUAACAUAUGCCAAAGUUACGGGACGAACCUUUGAAGAAUCUUGAUGGCAUUACAUGUGCUCCUUGGGG